UCACCUGCAAUUGCAAAACACGAAGACGAGUCACAUAUGGAGUCGAAAUAUUCCGACGACGUUGUUAUAUAAUUCACGGUUUUUAAAUUGAGGAGAGAAUUCUCUAGUGACCCACGUAUCUAGUAACAUAAUCUAAUAUGAUAUCGUGAAAUUUUUAAUUUUUUUAAAUUAAAAAGAAGCAUUUAAAGUUUAUCGUUUAUCCGUUCCACUUGAAUUCUUGAUGCAAAAAUUAAAUCACUGUGUAUUUUUAUAGUUUCAACGAUGUUAUUGUUUACAGUUUUUGAAUUAAGAGGACACUCGUAUCCCUAGAGUUAUAUCACUAUGAAGUUACUAGAAAAAUAUUUAAUUCUAGUGAUGUUUUAUUAGUAAUAUAAUUUUCCCUCUAAAUCGAGAACGGUUCACCUUUUUGAAGGAAAAUUUCGGCAUUGUUGCUGCUGUCUUUUCGCGGCAACAUCUGACAAACGACUACGCGUUUUCUAAACAUUCUUUCGAUUUGCUGUGAGUCAACGCAACGAGGUCUUAGCAUGAAUGUUUAUCAUUGACCAAAAUACAUUAUCAACCGAAAGUUUAAAAUAUUAACGAUUCGAAGAAAUUCCGAAUAUCAAAGAUUGAUGUUACAAUAUAUAUAUAUAGAGAGAGAGAUAAAGAAAUAAAAUAAGUUCGAAGCUUGCUAUUCCGAUUAACGUAUGACGAAAUGAGAAGCUAUCUUUAGUUUAGGAGAAAGAGAGAGAGAGAAAAAUCCUGACGAUUCAUUCUGCUGAUUCACGCAACGAGAACUGUUACUCUGGUGUCUCCCUGUAAUCAUUCGCGAUAGGAAAUAUCCUCGGCUCUCAUUAUUGUCACGAUAUUAAGAUAUUCUGCUCGGUCGAUUAUUGAUUUUUGACGAAGAGGAGAGGAGAAACGGCCGAUGCUCGAUCCAAUUCAUCCAUCCCCUUUGUUUUCGCUCCCUAUUUUUCUCGAAACGACGUCUACCUUGAGUUCGAUAUUGAGCUGCUUCUCCAAGGACAAAAGGCGAAGAUCCGUGAAUAGACCCUCCUGACUCGGCGACGACGGCCCCAUUGGUGACAGAGGCGUGUCUGAAACGAAAAUAGGCAUUGAAAAUAAAAAUCCCCUUCUCGAUACGCUCUAAAAAAUGUUUUUCUUUUUCGAUUAUAUACGGAAAAAAAUAAACCUUCGUAUUUAUCGAUCGAUCCUCGAAAAAAGUGAUUCAAUUAUUUUUCCCUUUUUACUUCAAGAAAAGCAAAAGUUCUAACAUCAAAUACGAUUUUCACAUUCUCAAAUGGAUACGCGAAGAUCAUUCAUUUGUUUCGAGGACAAAUUAAGAAUACGUUCAAGGGAUGGAAGCGUCUCGAUUUAAGAGAGAGAAAAAAAAAAAAUAAAUAAAUAAAACAGAUCGCGGUGAGAAUAGAUAGCGAAGAACGGUUGAAGAGCGUGGGCGUGAAUUCGCGCCAGUACAUCUCGUUACAUCUCGAGGCAAGCGCCUCGAGUGUCCAAUAGUGAAAUCGCAAGGUACUCGAAUCCCACUUCCUGUAACCUACUAGAGAUAUCUCCGUGCCGCGGACUCCCACGUGUUUAAUGCACUCCCAAGCACAAUGCGAGCGCAGAAAAAAAGCUACUCCUCUUUUUCUUUGUUUCGUUUUGGCACGCACGAGAGUCUGCUUGCUCGCCAAUUUCCGCAAGAUUCUUUUGAGAAUUUUAAAAAUCAAAAAAAUUCUGACUUAGCUUCUUGCAAUGGAAAUGGGGAAUUUGUAAAAUAAUUAUUCUUCAAGUGCUGGUGAAUGACGAGUAAUAAUUGUUGGAAGGAUGCUCUUGAUAAAAUUUUCAUCUUAAUAAGGAAUAUUUAAAUACGUGUUAUGGAUCUACAUAUAAUUCUAAAGUUAAAACCGAGAUACACGAUGUAUCAACUAUAAUUACGUCACUUAUAAAUUAAUUUUCAAAAAUAUCUGACAAUAAAGUCAGUUUGGCUUCUAAGUAGCUCACUAUCCAAUGACAAACGGCGUGUAGAUUAAUUAACAUCAAUUCGAAUUUAUCGAAAAAAAAAGUUGAACAAUUGUAUCUCUGCGAUCUUGCAUCGUUGCCUAUCUAAAAACUCUGUACACGCGUUAUUUUAUCGAGGUGGAAAUAUAUAUAACUAGAUGUAGUUAUUUAUUUUCAUUACACGUCACAUUCAUUACUAGUUCAUUUAUACGCAUCAAAGGCAUUAAGGUGGAACAAAGUUAACCGCCGAUUUAUCGUUGAAAUAAAUUUGCAUCGAUCUUU